rnacentral:rRNA from 3 species
UUAAGCGACUAAGCGUACACGGUGGAUGCCCUGGCAGUCAGAGGCGAUGAAGGACGUGCUAAUCUGCGAUAAGCGUCGGUGAGGUGAUAUGAACCGUUAUAACCGGCGAUUUCCGAAUGGGGAAACCCAGUGUGAUUCGUCACACUAUCAUUAACUGAAUCCAUAGGUUAAUGAGGCGAACCGGGGGAACUGAAACAUCUAAGUACCCCGAGGAAAAGAAAUCAACCGAGAUUCCCCCAGUAGCGGCGAGCGAACGGGGAGGAGCCCAGAGCCUGAAUCAGUGUGUGUGUUAGUGGAAGCGUCUGGAAAGGCGCGCGAUACAGGGUGACAGCCCCGUACACAAAAAUGCACAUAUUGUGAGCUCGAUGAGUAGGGCGGGACACGUGGUAUCCUGUCUGAAUAUGGGGGGACCAUCCUCCAAGGCUAAAUACUCCUGACUGACCGAUAGUGAACCAGUACCGUGAGGGAAAGGCGAAAAGAACCCCGGCGAGGGGAGUGAAAAAGAACCUGAAACCGUGUACGUACAAGCAGUGGGAGCCUCUUAAUGGGGUGACUGCGUACCUUUUGUAUAAUGGGUCAGCGACUUAUAUUCUGUAGCAAGGUUAACCGAAUAGGGGAGCCGAAGGGAAACCGAGUCUUAACUGGGCGUUAAGUUGCAGGGUAUAGACCCGAAACCCGGUGAUCUAGCCAUGGGCAGGUUGAAGGUUGGGUAACACUAACUGGAGGACCGAACCGACUAAUGUUGAAAAAUUAGCGGAUGACUUGUGGCUGGGGGUGAAAGGCCAAUCAAACCGGGAGAUAGCUGGUUCUCCCCGAAAGCUAUUUAGGUAGCGCCUCGUGAAUUCAUCUCCGGGGGUAGAGCACUGUUUCGGCAAGGGGGUCAUCCCGACUUACCAACCCGAUGCAAACUGCGAAUACCGGAGAAUGUUAUCACGGGAGACACACGGCGGGUGCUAACGUCCGUCGUGAAGAGGGAAACAACCCAGACCGCCAGCUAAGGUCCCAAAGUCAUGGUUAAGUGGGAAACGAUGUGGGAAGGCCCAGACAGCCAGGAUGUUGGCUUAGAAGCAGCCAUCAUUUAAAGAAAGCGUAAUAGCUCACUGGUCGAGUCGGCCUGCGCGGAAGAUGUAACGGGGCUAAACCAUGCACCGAAGCUGCGGCAGCGACACUAUGUGUUGUUGGGUAGGGGAGCGUUCUGUAAGCCUGUGAAGGUGGCCUGUGAGGGUUGCUGGAGGUAUCAGAAGUGCGAAUGCUGACAUAAGUAACGAUAAAGCGGGUGAAAAGCCCGCUCGCCGGAAGACCAAGGGUUCCUGUCCAACGUUAAUCGGGGCAGGGUGAGUCGACCCCUAAGGCGAGGCCGAAAGGCGUAGUCGAUGGGAAACAGGUUAAUAUUCCUGUACUUGGUGUUACUGCGAAGGGGGGACGGAGAAGGCUAUGUUGGCCGGGCGACGGUUGUCCCGGUUUAAGCGUGUAGGCUGGUUUUCCAGGCAAAUCCGGAAAAUCAAGGCUGAGGCAUGAUGACGAGGCACUACGGUGCUGAAGCGACAAAUGCCCUGCUUCCAGGAAAAGCCUCUAAGCAUCAGGUAACAUCAAAUCGUACCCCAAACCGACACAGGUGGUCAGGUAGAGAAUACCAAGGCGCUUGAGAGAACUCGGGUGAAGGAACUAGGCAAAAUGGUGCCGUAACUUCGGGAGAAGGCACGCUGAUAUGUAGGUGAAGCGACUUGCUCGUGGAGCUGAAAUCAGUCGAAGAUACCAGCUGGCUGCAACUGUUUAUUAAAAACACAGCACUGUGCAAACACGAAAGUGGACGUAUACGGUGUGACGCCUGCCCGGUGCCGGAAGGUUAAUUGAUGGGGUUAGCGGUAACGCGAAGCUCUUGAUCGAAGCCCCGGUAAACGGCGGCCGUAACUAUAACGGUCCUAAGGUAGCGAAAUUCCUUGUCGGGUAAGUUCCGACCUGCACGAAUGGCGUAAUGAUGGCCAGGCUGUCUCCACCCGAGACUCAGUGAAAUUGAACUCGCUGUGAAGAUGCAGUGUACCCGCGGCAAGACGGAAAGACCCCGUGAACCUUUACUAUAGCUUGACACUGAACAUUGAGCCUUGAUGUGUAGGAUAGGUGGGAGGCUUUGAAGUGUGGACGCCAGUCUGCAUGGAGCCGACCUUGAAAUACCACCCUUUAAUGUUUGAUGUUCUAACGUGGGCCCCUUACCGGGGUUGCGGACAGUGUCUGGUGGGUAGUUUGACUGGGGCGGUCUCCUCCUAAAGAGUAACGGAGGAGCACGAAGGUUGGCUAAUCCUGGUCGGACAUCAGGAGGUUAGUGCAAUGGCAUAAGCCAGCUUGACUGCGAGCGUGACGGCGCGAGCAGGUGCGAAAGCAGGUCAUAGUGAUCCGGUGGUUCUGAAUGGAAGGGCCAUCGCUCAACGGAUAAAAGGUACUCCGGGGAUAACAGGCUGAUACCGCCCAAGAGUUCAUAUCGACGGCGGUGUUUGGCACCUCGAUGUCGGCUCAUCACAUCCUGGGGCUGAAGUAGGUCCCAAGGGUAUGGCUGUUCGCCAUUUAAAGUGGUACGCGAGCUGGGUUUAGAACGUCGUGAGACAGUUCGGUCCCUAUCUGCCGUGGGCGCUGGAGAACUGAGGGGGGCUGCUCCUAGUACGAGAGGACCGGAGUGGACGCAUCACUGGUGUUCGGGUUGUCAUGCCAAUGGCACUGCCCGGUAGCUAAAUGCGGAAGAGAUAAGUGCUGAAAGCAUCUAAGCACGAAACUUGCCCCGAGAUGAGUUCUCCCUGACUCCUUGAGAGUCCUGAAGGAACGUUGAAGACGACGACGUUGAUAGGCCGGGUGUGUAAGCGCAGCGAUGCGUUGAGCUAACCGGUACUAAUGAACCGUGAGGCUUAACCUU